UUUCGGUCAUGGCGCGACANNNCNNGCGGNUGACGGGAGCUUGCUCCUUGAUCAGCGGCGGACGGGUGAGUAAUGCCUAGGAAUCUGCCUGGUAGUGGGAGGACAACGCUUUCGAAAGGAACGCUAAUACCGCAUACGUCCUACGGGAGAAAGCAGGGGACCUUCGGGCCUUGCGCUAUCAGAUGAGCCUAGGUCGGAUUAGCUAGUUGGUGAGGUAAUGGCUCACCAAGGCGACGAUCCGUAACUGGUCUGAGAGGAUGAUCAGUCACACUGGAACUGAGACACGGUCCAGACUCCUACGGGAGGCAGCAGUGGGGAAUAUUGGACAAUGGGCGAAAGCCUGAUCCAGCCAUGCCGCGUGUGUGAAGAAGGUCUUCGGAUUGUAAAGCACUUUAAGUUGGGAGGAAGGGCAGUAAGUUAAUACCUUGCUGUUUUGACGUUACCGACAGAAUAAGCACCGGCUAACUCUGUGCCAACAGCCGCGGCAAUACAAAGGGUGCAAGCGUUUAUCCGAAUUACCUGGGCCGUAAGCGCCGCGUACGCGGUUCGUUAAGUUGGCACGUGAAAUCCCCUGGGUCAAAUGGGAACUGGAUUCCAAACCGGGUGAGUUACAUAUGGUAAAUAGUGGGCGGAAUUUCCUGGUGUAGCGGUGCAACUGCUCUUCUUCAUGGUUAGGUACACCCUUGGGCGAGCGGAUACCACCUCCGUGGGUCCUUGACCCUCUAGUUUCAACUGCUCGGGCGAUGCA
rnacentral:rRNA from 1 species